rnacentral:rRNA from 1 species
GACGAACGCUGGCGGCGUGCUUAACACAUGCAAGUCGAACGGUAAGGCCCUUCGGGGUACACGAGUGGCGAACGGGCGAGUAACACGUGGGUGAUCUGCCCUGCACUUCGGGAUAAGCCUGGGAAACUGGGUCUAAUACCGGAUAGGACUCCGGACUGCAUGGUCUGGGGUGGAAAGCUUUUGCGGUGUGGGAUGGGCCCGCGGCCUAUCAGCUUGUUGGUGGGGUGAUGGCCUACCAAGGCGACGACGGGUAGCCGGCCUGAGAGGGUGACCGGCCACACUGGGACUGAGAUACGGCCCAGACUCCUACGGGAGGCAGCAGCGGGGAAUAUUGCACAAUGGGCGCAAGCCUGAUGCAGCGACGCCGCGUGAGGGAUGACGGCCUUCGGGUUGUAAACCUCUUUCAGCAUCGACGAAGCGAAAGUGACGGUAGGUGCAGAAGAAGGACCGGCCAACUACGUGCCAGCCGCCGCAGUAA